AAGAGGCUGUGCUUUUAGAAGUUCAACUUCUUCAUAAAUAUUCAGGACACAAAAAUAUUGUGUCUUUACAUUGCGCUAUGAUCCAUCGAGAAGAACAACUCUUAUGGUGCGUAAUGGAUUAUUGUGGAGGGGGCUCUUUAUUAGAUCUUAUCAAGAGUACAGAACAUCGUUCCCUCCCAGAAGACUGGAUAAAAUAUAUCUCCAGGGAGAUAUUAAAGGGCCUGAAAUACCUGCAUGAAAACCUUUUGAUCCAUCAGGACAUCAAGGCAGGGAAUAUCAUGCUGACAGAAAAGGCCGAAAU